CUCUGUGCUGUUCUUGUGCUUUUCAGCCAAGUCUAUGGUCUGCUUGGGAAUAUAAUUCAGCCUGACACGCUGGUGCGAGCUCAGAUCGGAGACACUGUGACUCUCCCAUGCUUCUACUCUGUAAACGUUUUUGAUAUCAGUUGGUAUAAGCAGCCUCUUGGACAGAAGAUUCAGCACAUUGCAUUGCAAGUUGUAAAAGAAAAUCCUCAAUUUUUCGAUGGGUUUAACAACGGUAAACGCUUCAGUGCUAAAGCAGCGAAGGGGAGCUUUAACCUGACUGUGUCACAAGUAGAGCCAUCAGAUUCAGCCACAUACCACUGCGCUAUGACGCCCUACAGAGAGACCAUCUUUGGAGAUGGAACGACUUUAAUGGUGAUGGGCUCAGAGUCACACAACAGGACAGUAGUACUGCAGCAGCCCGAGUCUGAGUCAGUGCAGCCAGGAGACUCUGCGACUCUGCAGUGUACAGUACACACUGAGACCUGUGCAGGAGAACACAGUGUGUACUGGUUCAGACAGGGCUCAGGAGAGUCCCCUCCAGGAAUCAUUUCCACCCAUGGAACCAGGAGUGAUGAGUGCCAGAGGAGCUCUGGGGCUGUGUCUCCCACCCAGAGCUGUGUGUACAACUUCCCCAAGAGGAACCUCAGCCCCUCUGAUGCUGGGACUUACUACUGUGCUGUGGCCACCUGUGGGGAGAUCCUGUUUGGGAAUGGGACCAAGCUGAAUGUUGCGGGAGCUGCAUCAAACAACCAGGAGAGCGUUGAAGACAUGGCGAGCAAACAGAGUCAAGAGGACUCAAUGAAUUACGCUGCUUUGACUUUCACCUCCAACAAACCCAAAGUGAGGAGGAACAAGAGGGAAGUGGAGAAAGAAACGGUUUACUCCGAUACGAGAUUUAGAGACCGCGAGUGAAGCUUUCCGUAGAAAUGUAUCUUUGUCAUAAGAAUGAUCGAACUGUUCCCUCACUAGAGUUCAUACCAUGUGACUGUAAAUGAUGUCACAUUUACUGGAUUUGCCAAGAGCUGUGCUUGUUCUUAUAUUUUUGCUGUUUUUCAAAUACACAAAGUAAAACUUGUACAGUAUACUCCCUGA